AGUGCAGACUGAUUUACCCCACCCGCUAAUGUUGAACUUGUAGUUGUUCUACUUCUAAAUGAUAUGAUUGAACAAUACUUUACCUCGAAAUUGUUGAUUAUAACAUCGUGAUCAUGAAAAUGAAUAUGACAUCAUGAUAUUGUUUGUGUUUGCUUUUUUUAAACAAGUUUAUUGUAUUGGUGAGUUAAGUAGAUGCUGAGUAAUGGUACCUUAUGUAUUUAAUAAUUGUAGAAAAAUCACCUUAAUUGUUUCUAUAUUGUUCUCAUUUGAUUACAAUGUUGUUCGAUUGGUCAUUGUCAGCUCGGAUACUACUUACCUGUACCUCGGGUACUCUUUUAAGUAUACUUACAUGUAGAGCUAACCCUGUUACAGUUUAUAUACUUUAACAUAGCCGGAAAUUUAAUGCUAAAUGGGUUGUUGUAGGCUUAAUAUUUUUAAUUAUGUUCACAUAAAUGCCUUUUUUUUCUCAAAUAGUGUUUAUAUCAUCCAAAUUUAUACUCAAAAAGCAUGUUGAUGCAGUUUUUUCAAAAGGUAAGUUUAAUUUAGAUAAACAAUAUGGCUUUACAUUUAUCUGUAGUGCACUGUACCACAUCGAAUUUUGGGCAGGAAUACAACUCGGGUACAGUCUAAUAAGGACCGGGUACGUUUAAGUAUAUUAACCUUACUCGAGGUACAUGCAAGUAUGCUUAAUGAUACCAGGGGUACAUGGAAGUAGUACCCAAGCUGUGAAUAACCAAUGGAGCAUUUUGGCAUAUUGCAUAUUGCCAAGGGAGAUGUUUACUGAGGAUUCCAUGCCAUUAAUGUGCAGGCUGUUGCUGACGCCAGCAUGAGCAAUAUCUGAGCACCAAUAAUGAGGGUCAUUUGCUGGGAGAUAGUGGGUAUCCGUUAAGGACUAACCUGAUGACCCCUUAACCUCAUCCCUCCCAUGCUGCGGAACAGGCCUACAAUGACCAUCUAUGUAGAGGAUAUCUGCAUGCCACUGGUGGAUGUUGGCCUUUCAAGUCCAAUAAGUGCUGUGAAAUAUCAACUGUGUACAUGCCCCUGCAUAACCUGUGUCUGGAUUCAAACAUUCCACUGAUAGAGGAAUUGGUUGGAAACGUGAUGGAACCGGAAGUUAUGAACAACACACCAGUACAUCGAGCAGCAUGUGAUCAGAGGCAGCAGCUGAUCAAACUGUUUCAUAAAAUAUGCUAAAAAUUUAUAGUUAUAAAUGUUAUAAAGUGAUAGAUGGCUUGAGUCUUCUCUGAAUAGGCAGAGCUACACUACUCAGCCAAAUGGCGUAAAGUUGUGUCAUAGCUGAUUUGGAAGGAUUGGUAUUCCUGGUCGUCUAGACACAAUAGUUACAACAGCUGAUAUUUGCAUGUUCUAUAAUUGUGUAUGCAUAAUUUGUCUAAUAUUUACUUCAAGGUUAUAGGUUUGUGAAAGAAAAAAAUGCAAAUGUUCUGAGGACCAAUAAAAAAAGUUAUGUGUUAGGUAUUACCAAGUGCUUGAUUUAAUAUUUAGUUUAAAGGGAACUUUACCUAAAUUUUGGCAGAUAUUUAAGUUUUUCAUUAAACGCUUUUAUAUUGAUACAUGUUAACACUGGAUGUAAAAAGCUCCAGUAAAAAACGAAUACAAUUAAAGAAAGAUAAAAAGUAACUCCUAUAGGGCUCAAACCACUGACCCCUGAAGUAAAAGCCUCACACUAAGACCACUUGUCCAUCCAUGUUGAUACAAUGAGUGAUGUAUUUUACACUUUAUAUAAGCAAUCCUCAUCGUGUCACAAAAUAUAACGACAACAGCAGAACUCUACAAAUUAUUCAAUCGUCGAGUGUUGCAGCAGAUAGUUGCAACGCUUUAAAAUUUUCAAGUUUUUAAAUCGUCAAAAGAUGCAUAUAAUGGAUAUUUUAGAGCAUGGUAAAUGUUCAGUAUUACUGUUUCCUCACAAAUAUCAUAACUACAACAAAAGUUUGCGAAUCUUAAACUUAUUUUUUUUAAUUGAGUCAAUUUACCAAAACUGGAAAUGGUCCCUUGAAUAUUGAACAGUUAUCUAAGCACCAGAAAAGAUCAUAUACUCAAGGUACUUUUCCCCAUUAACAAUUAUUCAAGUGAUAUUUUACCCACUGACUUUAGCUCUAAAAGGUGUUCUCUGUAAUGAACAUUCUCAAAGCCACAUUAAAACAAGGGCUGUUAGUAAAACAUGCAUGCCCCCCAUUUGGGCUGUCAGUUGUAGUGGCAGUCAUUGUGUAAAUACUUUUUUUGUCACUGUGAACUUGACCUUUGACCUAGUGACCGGAAAAUCAAUAGGAGUCAUCUGCCAGACAUGAUCAAUGUACCUAUGAAGUUUCAUAAUCCUAGCUGUUAGCAUUCUUGAGUUACCAUCCGGAAACCAUUUUACUAUUUUGAGUCACCGUGACCUUGACAUUUGACCUAGUGACCUGAAAAUCAAUAGGGGUCAUCUGCAAGUCAUGACCAAUCUACCUAUGAAGUUUCAUGAUCCUAGGCGUAAGCAUUCUUAAUUCAUCAUCUCGCAAUCAUUUUACUGUUUUGACUCACUGUGACCUUGACCUUGACCUAGUGACCUGACAAUCAAUAUGGGUCAUCUGCCAGUCAUGAUUAAUCUACCUAUGAAGUUUCAUGAUCCUAGGCCUAAGCUGUCUUGAGUUAUCUAUCAUCCGGAAACCAUCUGGUGGACAGACCGACCAAGCAAAACAAUAUACCCCCUCUUCUUUGAAGGGGGGCAUAAAAAGUGGGCUUGUAAAUGUAUCGGUACUUUAUUAUAAUAAGUGUGCUGUCUAUAAAUAUGGAUAUUAUUGUCAUAAAAAAAUAGAAGUUUUCCAGUAUAUUAGAUUGUUUCCGAAUGUAUUUACUAAACUUUACCCCUUUAUGAUUCUCUGUUCAAUUAUUUAGUCAUCUACCGUUAAAAAAUGUUGUUUACCUGUGCAAUUUUUAUUGAAAUGUUUAUGAUAAUAAUGUUUAUGGUAUUUGAUAACAGU